GCCAACCCGCCUCGCGAGAGGGGGGCGGCAGCCGUCGAGGGCGGGGCUGGUGAUUGGGACGAAGUCGUAACAAGGUAGCCGUAGUGGAAACUGCGGCUGGAUCACCUCCUUU
rnacentral:rRNA from 1 species